rnacentral:rRNA from 1 species
AGUCGAGCGGACAGAUGGGAGCUUGCUCCCUGAUGUUAGCGGCGGACGGGUGAGUAACACGUGGGUAACCUGCCUGUAAGACUGGGAUAACUCCGGGAAACCGGGGCUAAUACCGGAUGGUUGUUUGAACCGCAUGGUUCAAACAUAAAAGGUGGCUUCGGCUACCACUUACAGAUGGACCCGCGGCGCAUUAGCUAGUUGGUGAGGUAACGGCUCACCAAGGCAACGAUGCGUAGCCGACCUGAGAGGGUGAUCGGCCACACUGGGACUGAGACACGGCCCAGACUCCUACGGGAGGCAGCAGUAGGGAAUCUUCCGCAAUGGACGAAAGUCUGACGGAGCAACGCCGCGUGAGUGAUGAAGGUUUUCGGAUCGUAAAGCUCUGUUGUUAGGGAAGAACAAGUACUCGUUCGAAUAGGGCGGUACCUUGACGGUACCUAAACAGAAAGCCACGGAUUAACUACGUGCCAGCAGCCGCGGUAAUACGUAGGUGGCAAGCGGUCUCCGGAAUUAUUGGGCGUAAAGGGCUCGCACCGCCGUUUCUUAAGUCUGAUGUGAAAGCCCCCGGCUCAACCGGGGAGGGUCAUUGGAAACUGGGGAACUUGAGUGCGAGAAGAGGAGAGUGGAAUUCCCCGUGUAGCGGUGAAAUGCGAAGAGAUGUGGGAGGAACACCAGUGGCGAAGGGCGACUCCUCUGGUCUGUAACCUGACGCUGAGGAGACAAAAAACCUGGGGGAGCCAACAGGAUUAGAUACCUCUGGUAGUCCACGCCGUUAAAACGAUGAGGGCCUAAGUGUUAGAGGGGUUUUCCGCCCCUUAGGGCUCCAGGCUAACGCACUUAAGCACUCUCCCCCUGGGGAGUACGGUCGCAAGACUGAAACUCAAAGGAAAUUGACGGGGGCCCCGCACAAGCCGUGGGAGCAUUGUGGUUUAAUUCGGGAACCAACCGCGGAAGAACCCUACCCACGUUCUGGACAUACUCUUCGAACAAAUCCUAGAGAGUAAAGGACGGUCCCCUUUCGGGGGGCAGAAGUUGACACGUGUGGUGGCAUGGGUUGUUCGUCCAGCUCCGUGGUCGUGAGAAUGGUUGGGUUAAGUACCCCGCAACCGAGGCCCACCCCUUUGUAUCUUUAGUUGCCAGCAUUCAGUUGGGCACUCCUAAGGGUGACUGCCGGUGACAAAACCGGAGGAAGGUGGGGAUGACGUCAAAUCAUCAUGCCCCUUAUGACCUGGGCGACACAAGUGCUACAAUGGACAGAACAAAAGGAGCAGCGAAACCGCCCAAGGUGAAGCCAAUUCACACUAAAUCUGUUCUCAGUUCGGAUCGCAGUCUGCAACUCGACUGCGUGAAGCUGGAAUCGCUAGUAAUCGCGGAUCAGCAUGCCGCGGUGAAUACGUUCCCGGGCCUUGUACACACCGCCCGUCACACCACGAGAGUUUGUAACACCCGAAGUCGGUGAGGUAACCUUUUAGGAGCCAGCCGCCGAAGGUGGGACAGAUGAUGGGGGAAGUCGUCACAAG